AUAUACUUUACUCUUUUUUUUCGGUUAGUUUUACAAUUUGCAUUAACUUCAUAUUUGAUAGCAUUUCCAUAUUAAUUUUGCAGCUGCAAACAUUUUAUUGACCGAGAAUGGUGAUGUAAAGGUUGCAGAUUUUGGUGUUUCUGCACAGCUCACGAGGACCAUAUCAAGGAGAAAGGUAAACAUAUUUCAUUAGGGUGUAAUCCUUUAUCAUUUUCUUUUGUAUGGGUUAUUGACAUAAUCUGUUUUCUCAUUACACUUUAAUGAAACUGAUGUAUAUUGUUUCAUUUUGUUCCUUGAAUCAUUCGGUUCUUUUAAUCGUGCAAAUCCAUUUGUAGAUUCCCAAAGUGGAAGAACUAGACUCGCAACAUAUUUUUGCUAUCUGCUUUU